GGGACUGUAGCUUAGUGGUAGAGUGCUUGCCUUACAGGCAAGAAACCCCAGGUUCUAUUCCUCAGUACCA
rnacentral:tRNA from 1 species